GAAGUGGGUCCGGCGGUCGCUGCCCCGCAAGGGGUGGAGGAAAGUCCGGACACCGCAGGGCAGGGUGCUUGGUAACGCCAAGGCGGGGCAACCCGACGGAAAGUGCCACAGAAAACACACGGCCGAUGGCCCGCGCGAGCGGGAUCAGGCAAAGGUGAAAAGGUGCGGUAAGAGCGCACCGGUCCCCUGGUGACAGGGGGCGCCAUGGCAAACCCCACCCGGUGCAAGGCCAAAUAGAGGGGAAGCGGCGGCCCGCCGCGCUGCGCCGCAAGGCGCUGGACCCCCGGGUAGGCUGCUCGAGGCGCGCGGCGACGCGCGUCCCAGAUGAAUGACCGCCUCGGGGCCUUCGGGUCCUAGACAGAAUUCGGCUUACAGGCCUGCUCACCUC
rnacentral:RNase_P_RNA from 1 species